rnacentral:lncRNA from 1 species
CGGUGGGAUUAGUCUCUGGUUGCCGGAAUCCUAGUGAGCUGAGAUCGUUUUGUGGCUGCCUGGUUUUGAAGCUCUUUGUGUUGCUCUCUUGUUGUUGUUGUUCUUGUGUUGGAGAUAGCUCUUUAUAGUUAUAGUCUCUGUUCUAUUCAGGGUGUUGAACAUGGAGGACGUGGUUGUACUCAUACCCAUUUAUAAAGUAGAGUUUUGAGUGGACUACGGUCCCGUUGGUUUUUCCUUCUCACAUCGAGAAAGUUUUCCAACGUUAAGUAGUGUUUGUCUCAUUUAGUUUCUGCUUAUACUAUAUCCUGCUAUCGUCGAAGUAUUUUCCUCACAUGUUCACACAAGGUCAGAGAAAAACGAUCAGGCUGUUACAUUCCGCUGCGCCUCGUGCCCGCUUUCCCGACACAACUUUCAUCGGCGG